rnacentral:rRNA from 1 species
CUUCGGGAUGAGCGGCGGACGGGUGAGUAACGCGUGGGAAUGUGCCCUUCUCUACGGAAUAGCCACUGGAAACGGUGAGUAAUACCGUAUACGCCCUCAGGGGGAAAGAUUUAUCGGAGAAGGAUCAGCCCGCGUUAGAUUAGGUAGUUGGUGGGGUAACGGCCUACCAAGCCUACGAUCUAUAGCUGGUUUUAGAGGAUGAUCAGCCACACUGGGACUGAGACACGGCCCAGACUCCUACGGGAGGCAGCAGUAGGGAAUCUUGGACAAUGGGGGCAACCCUGAUCCAGCCAUGCCGCGUGAGUGAAGAAGGCCCUAGGGUCGUAAAGCUCUUUCGCCUGUGAUGAUAAUGACAGUAGCAGGUAAAGAAACCCCGGCUAACUCCGUGCCAGCAGCCGCGGUAAUACGGAGGGGGUUAGCGUUGUUCGGAAUUACUGGGCGUAAAGCGCGCGUAGGCGGAUUGGAAAGUUGGGGGUGAAAUCCCGGGGCUCAACCCCGGAACUGCCUUCAAAACUCCCAGUCUAGAGUUCGAGAGAGGUGAGUGGAAUUCCGAGUGUAGAGGUGAAAUUCGUAGAUAUUCGGAAGAACACCAGUGGCGAAGGCGGCUCACUGGCUCGAUACUGACGCUGAGGUGCGAAAGUGUGGGGAGC